UACGAAGGGGGCUAGCGUUGCUCGGAAUCACUGGGCGUAAAGCGCACGUAGGCGGCCUUGUAAGUCUCACUGUGAAAGUCCGGGGCUCAACCCCGGGAUGCCAGGGGAUACUGCGAGGCUUGAGACAAGUAGAGGUUGGUAGAAUUCCGGGUGUAGCGGUGGAAUGCGUAGAGAUCCGGAGGAAUACCAGAGGCGAAGGCGGCCAACUGGGCUUGUUCUGACGCUGAGGUGCGAAAGCGUGGGGAGCGAACAGG
rnacentral:rRNA from 1 species